CUGCGGUCUGUCUGGGUGUGGUGAUCCAUCACUGAAGUCCACAUCCAUGAUUUGUACCAAGCAUCAGAAAACCCAAAAACAACUGCCCUGAAAAUAUCUUGAGCUCAAGGUAGAAUCUUCUUUUUGGGGGGCCAAGGCAGAGCUCCACCUCUCACACGUGCCUCAGAAACAAGCUAAAACACAAGCCGGAUCAAACGGCGGCCAGUGAGGAAGGUGUGAGAACCCCUGCGUCGUCGGGAACCUGGGUAGACCUUCCAGGGGCGCCAGGCUACCGCUUCUCCUUCUCCCUCAGAGUGCCCCGGCCAGGACAGAGGCCCACGGCCCCUUGAGGCUGUUGGCAACAAGGCACAACCUAUGCUCGGGGCAGCCCAGCAGGUGGGUGAGGCCAGAGAAGUAAAGCUUACAAACCUAUCACCGAUAGAAACAGGACGGAAAGAAGAGAAUUCCAUCUAUGGAAUUACAAAGCGAGUGAACGAGAAGGUACCGAUUCCACUCAUCAGAGUUUAGAUACGAAAUAACUAUAACGGGCCGUGGUCCCCUCCCAAUUACCCGUGCCGUGGCUUCGAGAACAUAGCCCAGGUGAGAUCGUUUCACAGCACGCCUCUGUGGUGUGUUUAGUCACUAAGUCCUGUGACUAGAGUUCAGCGGGGAACCCUUCACGCAGAACUUCUCCAGCUGGGAGAGGUGCUGCGUUCCUGAUGACUGCGUCACGGGCAGAGACGGGAGGUAUGUCCCGGGCUCCGAAUCCAAGGCCAGCCUGGCCGGGGCCGCCUCAGGCUGCGCGUCCCGUCCACGACGCACGUGGACACUCAGGGCCUCAGGAAGGCCGUUCGUUUAUUGCCUAUUUUCCGGAGUAACCGCCCAGAAAAGCAGCCACUAUGUCUGUUGUAAUUGUCAGAGUAAACAGAGCCCACGGCGAUGAGAUCCACGUAAGGAUACGUCCGUCCUGUGUAUUUUUUAAGAGCCCAUGUUAUAAACCCACGCCUUUAGGGUGCUGUCCUCAGAAGUGUGACCUGGGAAAAAAAAACACACUCGGGCGGUCCCUCGGAUACCCCAGCAGACUCCUUAAAGCACCGCGUGCCCCUCUCUGGCUCGGACACUAACAGACCUGAGCCGUCUGCAGGCCAGUGGUCUCUUGCCAACAGAAAGCACGAGAAGGGCCCGGCACGUCUCUAAAGAGGGGAAUCCGCGUCAGCAGCGAGCGUCUCUAGCUCCAGGCCUCCUCACCCUAACCCAACGUUUGUAUCAGCAGAGGGACAGAAGAGGGACAGACAGCAUCCGUAGCCGGAGCGAACGUGCUGCUGGCUUCUUGAGUUGGAGGGCAGUGGGCGUGGCUGGGUUUCGUGUGGAAAUACAGAAGUCAAAGACGGGCUCUUUUUUUUACAUGUAUUUAUUUAUUUAUUUUGAGAGAGAGAGCGAGCGAGCGAGCAGGGGAAGGGCAGAGAGAAGGGGAGAGAGAAUCCCCAGAAGGUUCCACGCUGUCAGCACAGAGCCCGAUGCGGGACGGCGCACAUAAGCGAGACACUUACAAUUUUGAGAAACGCGAUUAGCGAAAACGAGCUUCCUUCAGUUUCCGCUGACCGCGUCUUCGGUGACGUUUCCACCGUCACGCGCGUCACCGUGUGGCGGCGGUAUUUCUGACAAAUCGACGUGACGGCCCGAGCCAGCCCGCUUCACUUCGCGCUCGGCUUUGCCAGCAUGGUCACGAAGGGGGUCACCUCCGCCAGGAGCGGGGGCCUUCCCGGGUCUCCCCAAGGCCUCUCUCUUAAUCUUCGGAUAUUCCGACUCUUCUCUUGGCUGGCACCAGAUUGCUGGGCUCGGUCCAGCACACGGUGUGAUCUGGCCACCUUCCCCUACAGGAGAGGUUGGCUAAGCACGAUCUGCUAUUCCAGAAACACCCUUCGGACUCAGCAUUACCGCUGCCGUUUUCUUAGGUCCCAGGAGGGAGGUGCAGGGCGUGCCGUGCUCCAGUGAAUACCAGCUCACAUGGAACCUAGGGAGGUUGCUGGGGAGGGGACGGACAGCAGGUGCCAACGCUCCCCUGCCCGUGCGGGAUGGACCCGGGCAUUCGGUACAGGACUCCUGCAAGACAGGCGAGGGAAGGCAACAGAGGCACGGCCCCGCGGCUCUAACAAAGGGGCCCUCGGCUCAGGAACCCGUGAACAGAGGCAUCUCUUGGGCGGAUCUGAGGCACAAAGCACAAGAACAAAAGUGAAAACGUUCCAGGCCCCAGACGGUGCUUUCCGUGGGGGGCAAGCUCACUGUGAGAACCGUGAACCUGCCGUCGGUGGCUUGAAUCUCACGAGAGUGCAGAACCAGUAAGGUUACCAACAGGAAAUCCACAGACGUGGACGCAUCUGGGGGACCCAAGGGGGUGGGACCAGCAAAGUCCACGUUCAGGCACCUCCUUGGACUCUCGGAGCCUCUCUGGCCACGGGCUGAGCUGCCUGUUUCCUUCCUUCCACAGCCUGUGCUUCUGUCCUUCUCUGUCUCUCUGUGACUCCCACGUGAAGGAGGCUGGCAGCUAAUUCCAAAUUCCCAGGGCUCCAAGGCGAGGGAAUCUUGGUGGCCCCGUGGAUCAGGCGGGUGUGGUGGGCCAAAUGGUUCUCCAAGGACGUCGGCGUCCUAGUCCCUGGGAUCAGUGACUGUCCCACCUUACCCGGCAAAAGAGAAUUUGCGGAUGAGAUUCACUUAGAGACCGGUAGGUGGUCCAGAAUUAUCCGGCGGGCAGGCCCAACGCAAUCACAAGGUCCUCGUGAGAGGGAGGCGGGAAGGUCGGAGGGGAAGAAGGGACAGAACAAAGGAGGCAGAGGCCGGAGGGGUGUCGUCGGACGGCAGAGGGACGCGGAAGGCGGUGGCCUCGAGGAGGCAGGCGAGGAGGCGGCUUAGCCCGCCAGGAAGCGGCCCGUCUCUGAUUUCAGCAGAAGGAAGCAGAUCUUGGACUUCUGACCUCAGAGCCGGAAGAGAGUAGAUGUGUGCUGUCGGAAGCCACUGCGUCUGUGGCGGCCUGUGGCGGCCACCCCAGGAGGCUCACGCAGAGCCCACGUGCAGCCUCGUCUGCCGCAGCCUGGGCAGGAGCGAAGGUCGUGUGGCCCCAGCGGCAGCGUCUUCUGGGGUCUGUGUGGAAAGGGGUGCCCGCCAUGGCCCACGGCGGCCCGAGUCCACGCCUCCCCGCGUCCCCUUCCGAUCUCGGAUUCAGCUUCCAGGGGCUCUCAUGCCAGGAAGGAGGUGCGCGGAACAAACAGCCCCGGAGCCGGAGGCCCCGGCCCCCCCGGGGCCAGUCAGUCACUGGGAGCCCUGAUUCGGAACCAGCCUCUGCACGACCACCUGUGUGAGGUCCCCAGAUCUGGCGGAAGAGGACCUCUUUUCCACAGAGCACAGGUGGACCUGUCCCCUCCCAGGUCCCGGUCCAGCCUACCUCGAGGCCAGCUCCCGCCCUCCACCUCUUGGGUCACAGGGUCGCUGGGAAAUUUGUAAACCCGGCUGGAUUCCGGGAGACGCCCACCUCGCCACACCCCACUGGGAGUAACGGAACGACUUUGAGAUUCCCCAAGGGCAAACUACGUUUAGGAGAGUUCGGCGCCUCUAAGCAAUCGUGGGACGGAGGCCAACGUCCAGUGGAAGUAAGGUUUCCAUCACUGGCUGUUCCGUCGCCAUCUCUGCCGCUGCUGUUUGGGUUGAUGGCGGAGUGGCUCGAGCCACGUUGUAACAAGAGGGGGUCCUCACCUCCUCUACUGCGCUUGGAGACCCUACCCCUUUGUUUGUCCUAAACAAAACCCGAAACUCGGCAAGUAAAACCAAACUACACCAGCUCA